rnacentral:rRNA from 1 species
GACGAACGCUGGCGGCGUGCCUAAUACAUGCAAGUCGAGUGAGUCUGCCUUGAAGAUCGGAGUGCUUGCACUCUGUGAAACAAGAUACAGGCUAGCGGCGGACGGGUGAGUAACACGUGGGUAACCUGCCCAAGAGAUCGGGAUAACACCUGGAAACAGAUGCUAAUACCGGAUAACAACAGAUGAUGCCUAUCAACUGUUUAAAAGAUGGUUCUGCUAUCACUCUUGGAUGGACCUGCGGUGCAUUAGCUAGUUGGUAGGGUAACGGCCUACCAAGGCGAUGAUGCAUAGCCGAGUUGAGAGACUGAUCGGCCACAUUGGGACUGAGACACGGCCCAAACUCCUACGGGAGGCAGCAGUAGGGAAUCUUCCACAAUGGACGCAAGUCUGAUGGAGCAACGCCGCGUGAGUGAAGAAGGGUUUCGGCUCGUAAAGCUCUGUUGUUGGUGAAGAAGGACAGGGGUAGUAACUGACCUUUGUUUGACGGUAAUCAAUUAGAAAGUCACGGCUAACUAAGUG